rnacentral:rRNA from 1 species
CCUACGGGAGGCAGCAGUGGGGAAUAUUGCACAAUGGGGGGAACCCUGAUGCAGCAAUGCCGCGUGAAGGAUGAAGGUUUUCGGAUUGUAAACUUCUUUUGUACGGGACGAAGAACGUGACGGUACCGUAAGAAUAAGCCACGGCUAACUACGUGCCAGCAGCCGCGGUAAUCCGGAGGAUGCGAGCGUUAUCCGGAUUUAUUGGGUUUAAAGGGUGCGUAGGCGGAAUAUCAAGUCAGCGGUAAAAAUUCGGGGCUCAACCCCGUCGUGCCGUUGAAACUGAUGUUCUUGAGUGGGCGAGAAGUAUGCGGAAUGCGUGGUGUAGCGGUGAAAUGCAUAGAUAUCACGCAGAACUCCGAUUGCGAAGGCAGCAUACCGGCGCCCAACUGACGCUGAAGCACGAAAGCGUGGGUAUCGAACAGGAUUAGAUACCCGGGUAGUC